UAUGGGUACUAAAAUUUUUACAAUCUACCUAUAUUAUCUCGCUUACAUGAUUAUUGAACCCAAUGUCCUCUCAUACUCGUUCUUUAACAAUAGGUACUUGAUCAACCUCGUUUACAUUAUACUUUACUAAGGAAAUAAGACAGGAUCAAAAAAUCCUUUAUGAAUACUAACUCUUCAGAAUUAUAGUAUUAAUAGCUACUUUUUGAUACUAUCACUAACUAAAAUAAUAACGCUUUUCCAAUUCGUCAAUAUGAAUGCAGCAAAACAUGCAGGUACUUAACCAAAGUCGAUUGACUUUCUUAACGUUAAAAAAAAGAACACUUCAUAAAUAUUCCAUUACUUUCAUACUAUGCAUUUGCAAUACGUAUUAGUCACUGCGAUGUGCUUACAUAUCAAUUGAAAAGGUACCACAACAUUUCGCUUUAUCAUGGCAGCAAUUUAUUGAUACUAUAUGAACAGCAAACAAUAAAGGAAACUAAAAAUUAUCGUGUUCUCUCCAUUUUGUUCUGCUUACACCCAUCUCACCUUUGUUUAUUA